AUGGCUGGGCCGUCGGUGACCACGCCCUCAGCAGAGGCAGCGUCUGGAAGUGGCGGACCCCGUGGUUCCCACGACAUGGAUUGCAACUUGGAAGAUCGCUUUGUUGGACUAAAUCUCCUUGGUGAGGAGGAGGAGGAUCUAGAUCUGUCGGGUGAAGUUGAUAAACUCAUCGAAGAGACUAGAUGGAUCGCAAUAUUUAGGGUUCACACCCAACGCCCCUUUAGCCAUGUAGCGUUGUUCAAAUCUUUGCGUAAUGGUUGGGCCCCGGCACAAGGCGUGAUCUUCAAAACAAUGAACCCUAACCUAUUCUUAGCACAGUUUAUGUGUUUGGGCGACUGGAAUCGGGUCAUGAACAAUGGCCCAUGGCUGUUUCAAGAUAAUGUUGUGGUCAUAGAGGAAUAUGACGGUAUCAGCAACGUCCAGGACUACAAGCUUGAUCAAAUCCCGGUGUGGGCAAGGAUCAUUGGUAUACCAGAUGGGCUUAUGAAGAAGAAAGAGAUUGCUGAGAAAAUAGCUGCAAUAGUUGGAAUUCCUCCGUUCAGAGUUGUUGUUAAUGAAGGGAUAAUUAAUCCCAGGAAGUACCUUCGCGCUCGCGUCUUCGUGAAGCUUGAUACACCCCUGGUGAGGAAGGAGGGCUGUGAAUGGUGUGACUGGCUCCUGGUGAAUUUUGAGUCGCAAGCUAAUCGAGGAGGAGGGAAUGGAAUGGGUCGUGGAGGCGGUUCAAGUGGGAAUGGGGGAGAUGCGGGUGGAUGGAGAGGUAAUAGAGGGGAACCCAACAUGGAAGAAGCAAAUGACAUGGUGGUAGACCCCAAUUCGUUUCAGAAUGAGGGUGCAAUGGUUCCUAUGGCUCGCAAAAGGCUGAUAGGCCAGGAUGGUGUUGUGUGUGUGAAAUCUGGAGGCCUGCCGCAGACCCCUCCUUUGGGUUUUGUACAUGAGAAAGUGAACCUGAUUGAGAGCAGCACCUCAGAACCGGUGGACAAGAGUUUGUUAAGCACCCCGCAAAAGAUACAUGAUCCCAAGAGGCAGAGAUCUGAGGCAAGUACUGAAGUGAACGAAGCUACGUCAGGAUCGGCGACCUCCCGAGAGGAGGAUCGCUGGGCACAAUGA
rnacentral:rRNA from 1 species